rnacentral:rRNA from 1 species
AAUAGAUACCCAGGUAGUCCACGCCGUAAACGAUGGAUACUAGCUGUCCGGGGCCCUGAGCCCUGGGCGGCCAAGCGAAAGUGAUAAGUAUCCCACCUGGGGAGUACGUCCGCAAGGAUGAAACUCAAAGGAAUUGACGGGGGCCCGCACAAGCGGUGGAGCAUGUGGUUUAAUUCGAUGAUACGCGAGGAACCUUACCAGGGCUUGAAUGCAUUAUGACAGGGGUGGAGACACCUUUUCCUUCGGGCAUUUUGCAAGGUGCUGCAUGGUUGUCGUCAGCUCGUGCCGUGAGGUGUCAGGUUAAGUCCUAUAACGAGCGCAACCCCUACCGUUAGUUGCCAGCGGGUCAUGCCGGGGACUCUAGCGGGACUGCCGGUGCAAACCGUGGGAAGUGGGGAUGACGUCAAAUCAUCACGGCCCUUACGUCCUGGGCCACACACGUGCUACAAUGGCCGGUACAGAGAGCGGCCACGCCGCAAGGCGGAGCGAAUCUACAAAACCGGUCACAGUUCGGAUCGGGGUCUGCAACCGA